rnacentral:lncRNA from 1 species
UUUCUUUUUCUCUUUUUUCUUCUCCCUCUCCUCCCACUUGCCGGUUUACCGUUUUGAAUGCCAGAACUGUCCCAGAUGGUUCGGGACGGUUCUGCAUUUCUUGAUAUCAUAUAUAGUUGCUUUUAUUCCUCUUUGAUCUCUAUUGGUACAAAUGGCUCUUCUCAACAAUAAUCAUCAAAUUUUAUUGCUUUUGCCAAUCUUGAAAUUUUCUUUCCAUAAUCUUUUCCCUGUGGUUAUUGACUGUUGCUAAUUAUUUUAUAGAGAACCUUUAUUGGUUCUUGGCCACAUAUUUAUGCCCCUGGAAUCUUGCCUUUGCUUUUGAUCAUGUCUAGAUAUCUUUAGUUUGGUUUGUCUACCUUGUGGUGUAUGAAGUCAUUCUAACUCCUGAUUCAUGUGCAUCCAAUUAUAUAACAUAUGAUGCAUUUGAUUGGACUCUCCAUUUGUCAAUUUCUUACAUGCCACUCCAACAUUAUUGGUUGAUUUUUUGUUUCCUCUUAUUUUUCAUGUUUACAAGCUAUCAAUGAAUUUUGAGCUAGCUUAUAGGUCAUCCUUGCAUAGUGUUACUUGAUUCUUGUUCUUGUUCCGUGCAUUAUCAUUCUUCAUGGAGGUAAUUGGGGCUAACCGUUGGCUUUGUGGUCUUUUCUAGAUGGGUAAUUUCCACCUAUCACCUAAUGUUUCCUUUGUGGAAGUCACCUCUUCACUAUCUUCUUCCUUUCUGAGUAAAAGAGN